UACGGGAGGCAGCAGUGGGGAAUAUUGCACAAUGGGCGCAAGCCUGAUGCAGCCAUGCCGCGUGUAUGAAGAAGGCCUUCGGGUUGUAAAGUACUUUCAGUCGUGAGGAAGGUGUUAAGGUUAAUAACCUUAGCAAUUGACGUUAGCGACAGAAGAAGCACCGGCUAACUCCGUGCCAGCAGCCGCGGUAAUACGGAGGGUGCGAGCGUUAAUCGGAAUUACUGGGCGUAAAGGGCACGCAGGCGGUUAAUUAAGUUGGAUGUGAAAUCCCCGGGCUUAACCUGGGAAUGGCAUUCAAGACUGGUUAGCUAGAGUCUUGUAGAGGGGGUAGAAUUCCAUGUGUAGCGGUGAAAUGCGUAGAGAUGUGGAGGAAUACCGGUGGCGAAGGCGGCCCCUGGACAAAGACUGACGCUCAUGUGCGAAAGCGU
rnacentral:rRNA from 1 species